rnacentral:lncRNA from 1 species
ACAUUAUUUCAUUGAAUCCAAAGCAUAUUUUCAUCCAAACACCAUUUCAUUCAUACAAAUGUCAUAUUACAAAUGUCCACACAAAGAAAUUACAAAAAAAUGAUUUUUGGCCUACAAUUAACGUUUUGGUCAACUGUUGACGUUUUGGUCAACCAGUUGACCGAAGUCAACUCAUAUAAAUCCAUAAUCCUAAUUCUAAUUUCCUAUGAUAUCUUCACUAUUUGAUGUGUUCAUUUGAUUUCCCAUCCAAAGCUUGCUUCAUAUGCAAGUAAGCCAUGUUUUUGCCUUUUCUUCCUUGAACCAUGUCUCAUGUCAAGUCUUGAAUCAUGACCAAAGUGCCAAGCAACAUCAGCCAUGCAGCAUACCACCUACAGUGCAUCACAUAAUUAGCUUCAUUUAACCAAGUCCAUUUGUUUCCAACUAAGGCACAAACAGGUCAUACACCUUUGCAUCAUAUUUCAUCAAUGCAUAUCACCAACAUAGCAAUAGGCCAAGCAUUAGUAACUAGAAGCUCAUUCAAAACAAGCAUAUAUAACAUUGCAAGCAUGACAUUCAC